rnacentral:rRNA from 1 species
GACGAACGCUGGCGGCGUGCUUAACACAUGCAAGUCGAACGGUAAGGCCCUUCGGGGUACACGAGUGGCGAACGGGUGAGUAACACGUGGGUGAUCUGCCCUGCACUUCGGGAUAAGCCUGGGAAACUGGGUCUAAUACCGGAUAGGACCACUGCCUGCAUGGGUGGUGGUGGAAAGCUUUUGCGAUGUGGGAUGGGCCCGCGGCCUAUCAGCUUGUUGGUGGGGUGAUGGCCUACCAAGGCGACGACGGGUAGCCGGCCUGAGAGGGUGACCGGCCACACUGGGACUGAGAUACUGCCCAGACUCCUACGGGAGGCAGCAGCGGGGAAUAUUGCACAAUGGGCGCAAGCCUGAUGCAGCGACGCCGCGUGAGGGAUGACGGCCUUCGGGUUGUAAACCUCUUUCAGCACCGACGAAGCGCAAGUGACGGUAGGUGCAGAAGAAGGACCGGCCAACUACGUGCCAGCCGCCGCGGUAA